UGGGGAAUAUUGCACAAUGGAGGAAACUCUGAUGCAGCAACGCCGCGUGGAGGAUGACGCAUUUCGGUGUGUAAACUCCUUUUAUAAGGGAAGAUAAUGACGGUACCUUAUGAAUAAGCACCGGCUAACUCCGUGCCAGCAGCCGCGGUAAUACGGAGGGUGCAAGCGUUACUCGGAAUCACUGGGCGUAAAGGAUGCGUAGGCAGGAAAUCAAGUCGAAAGUGAAAUCCAACGGCUCAACCGUUGAACUGCUUUUGAAACUGGUUACCUAGAAUAUGGGAGAGGUAGAUGGAAUUAGUGGUGUAGGGGUGAAAUCCGUAGAUAUCACUAGGAAUACCGAUUGCGAAGGCGAUCUACUGGAACAUUAUUGACGCUGAGGCAUGAAAGCGUGGGGAGCAAACA
rnacentral:rRNA from 1 species